rnacentral:snRNA from 1 species
AGCCACGCCAUACACACAUAGCGAACUAUUCUUUCGCCUUUUACUAAAGAAUACCGUGUGUGCGUUGCAAAUAGUGGCAUACGCCAAUUUUUGGAGGGAUUCUCUUCACCGAGGUU